UUAGUAAGUUAUAAGUUAAAUAGGUUAGAUAAAAGUAGAUUAAAAAGCUUAGAAGUAAGCAAGCUAUUCUGAGUUGGGUUUUGAAAACAGCGUCAGAGUGAGCGCUCUGCGUUCUUGUUUAGUUUUCCGAAAUAGCUACAGAGUGAGCGCUCUCACCGCUCUGCCCUCUGUCGGCCUAUCUUUGCAGUUUCUCCGUCUUCUUGACAGCUACGUCAACCGUUAGAUCACAAACAGCCAAGACGGACAGAGUCGAGUUUAUGCCAGUUUAUGCUGAUGCUAAUGUGUUUAUCAUACGCUUCUGCCUUGGAUAUUAUUUGUCUGUAAGUAAAAUGUGUCCAUAAGCACAUAACACAUGCAGCUUUUAGAGAAUGUCAUGUUUGAAGUAUGUGUUGUCUUAUUAAGCAGUCAAACUGUUCUAUGUAGUAUAUUGCAGUUUCUGUUGGUAAAAACUACACGCAGUUCAGUAAAUGUGUGAUAUAUUAAUAUGUCAGUGUUUGUAUACUGAUGUGUUUCAUUUUCUCUGUAAUGUUUCAGUUUUACAAAAAACAAGAUAUUGUCCCAACAGUCAAGACUCAAGUAAAGACAGGAAAAGCAAGCCCUGUGUGUUUAUUUGAAGACUUUGGACUUUUUCAUCUUUUGUUAGCUAGCUGUCUAGCUUUGCACAAGACCACGCACUGCAAGGGCAGUAUAGUAAAAAGACAAUUGUACGGCGGGCUCAAGCACUAGAAAACAUUCAGCAGACAUGAGUCUACGCUCAGGAAAUAUGUAUCAAGCUACCAUGCAGCAAGAUGAAGCUAAUGGCAACGAUGCUAACAGAGAACAGACGCUUCCUCAUUCAUUUGAUGUUAAGUCACAGUUAUCUAAGGCAUCCAUUAGACUCUCUCAACGAUCAUCAUCAACAACCUCUUCAGCCACUAAAGCCUAUGCUAAGGCGCAAGCUGCCCGAGCACAACUAGUUUACGCUGAAAGAGAAGCUAGCAUGAUGAAGCAGAGAGCAGAGUUGGAAGCAAAUCUCCAUCUACUCCAAUGCGAAAGAGCUGUUGCUGCAGCUGAAGCUGAAGCUACAGCCUAUGAGGAAGCUGAGCUGCAAAGUGGGGAGCUCAGUCAACAACCCUGUGUUGAAGACAAACCCAUCAGUACUGUACAACGCGCUUGUGAGUACGUUCAGCAGCAUUUUCCAGAUCCACCCUGCACAUCCACACAGAGUGCUGUAGCCGAAAGAAGUGACAGCGGGGAGCAAGGUGAAUGCUCAUCUUCAGUCACCUCUAAGUGUACAGAGAUUUGUGACCAGGCUAACAGUCCACGCUCAUGUUCCAAAAUCUGUUUAGUGAAAGCAUAUCCUGCAGGGAACAAAGAGAAGGCGGUUAAAAUGUAUGCUGUGCUUGACGAACAGAGUAACAAGUCCCUUGCUAAGACAGAGUUCUUUAACCUCUUCAACGUAAAAGCCAGCCCCACCCCAUACACCCUGACAACAUGUUCUGGGAAAAUGGAAACUUCAGGAAGGAGAGCUGUUAAUUUCUGCAUCGAGUCCAUGGAUGGGAGACUCCAGCUUCCCUUAUCCCCCAUGAUAGAGUGUGACAUGGUGCCGGAUGACAGGAUGGAAAUUCCCUCUCCAGAGAUCACACACCAUCAUCCCCACCUGCUCCCAGUCGCUGACAAGAUUCAACCCAUAGACCAAGAUGCUCCGAUCCUUCUACUUUUGGGGAGAGACAUCCCCAGGAUGCAUAAAGUGCGUGAGCAAAUCAACGGGCCCCAUGAUGUGCCUUACGCUCAGCGGCUAGACCUCGGCUGGGUCGUUGUUGGAGAAGUGGGCUUGGAAACGGUUCACAAACCAUCAGAGGUCAGUGUCUACAAAACUAACGUGCUGAACAACGGUCGUAGAUCGUUUCUAAAACCAUGUCCAAACAGUAUCCAUGUGAAGGAUGACUAUGGGGGCAUGACACAACAUCGUGGUUCCACCUUCCCCACUCGUGAGAAGAACACAAGACCCACCCUUAGUACAGACAAUAUGGGGUGCUUGGUGUUUGACAUGUCUAAGGAUGAAAACAAACCAGCAUUAUCCAUAGAUGACAAAACCUCCCUGGCCACCAUGGAUUCAAAAGUCCACCAAAAUAAAGGGAACAGUUGGUUGGCUCCUUUACCCUUUUGCUAUCUGAGAAGACGGCUUCCGAGCAACAGGGAGCAAGCUUUAAAACGUCUCCGCUCACUACAGAGGACUCUGAAAAAAAAAAGAUGGAGAUGAAAGAUCCCUACAUAAAGUUCAUGCAGAAGAUGUUGGACCGUGAUCAAGCCGAGCCUGCACCACCUUUCACCAGAGACAAAAUUCUAAUCAUUCGUUCCGUUCGGCACACAGCCUUUAUGGAGGAGUUCAAAUGUCUUAAAGAAGGCAGACAGACAUUCAUGAAGCGUCACGCAUCUAAGAAGCUAAAUCCAGCUGUGGAUAAAGAUGGACUGUUGCAUGUUGAAAGUCGUCUUUCCUCUGCUGACACGUUCUGGAGGAGAUUGAAAGGAAAGUACCUGUCUACUCUACAGAGCUGCAGGAAGUGGAUGACAGAGAAGCCAACUGUGAAGGAUGGGUUAGCCAAGUUGUUUCUGAGGCUGGUGUCAGAGAUCGUAGUCCUUCUCUCAGAGGAUCAACAAUAAGACUCAUGUUGAUGUUAUUGCUGGUGGACGUCCCCCUUUAAAUGUGAUUGUUUCUGUAUUGAGAUUUACUUGUGGUGAUAUAAUGUUAUUAUAUCAAGCGGGGAGUGUGCUGUCUCUAAAGUUAGUAAGUUAUAAGUUAAAUAGGUUAGAUAAAAGUAGAUUAAAAAGCUUAGAAGUAAGCAAGCUAUUCUGAGUUGGGUUUUGAAAACAGCGUCAGAGUGAGCGCUCUGCGUUCUUGUUUAGUUUUCCGAAAUAGCUACAGAGUGAGCGCUCUCACCGCUCUGCCCUCUGUCGGCCUAUCUUUGCAGUUUCUCCGUCUUCUUGACAGCUACGUCAACCGUUAGAUCACAAACAGCCAAGACGGACAGAGUCGAGUUUAUGCCAGUUUAUGCUGAUGCUAAUGUGUUUAUCAUACGCUUCUGCCUUGGAUAUUAUUUGUCUUUUUACAAAAAACAAGAUAUUGUCCCAACAGUCAAGACUCAAGUAAAGACAGGAAAAGCAA